rnacentral:piRNA from 1 species
UGGCUCGGAGUAAGAAAACAGAA